rnacentral:piRNA from 1 species
CGUAGAUAUCGCUCAUUUU